UGCUGGCAUGCUAUUAGACUUUCCAGGCUGCUCUCAUUUGUCAGUUUAAGUGCACAACCUAUUCCAUCACCCCAGCUGUUAAUGAUAAUGCUGAAUAGGAUGAGAUGAGCUAAUUUUUAUCAAUGUUUGUCCUAAACCAGCCCUUUGCACUUGCCAGACAGCUGUACUGUGGAGUAAACAGCAGCACGGACUGAGCCACGUGGAGGUGUGGGAGUAGCUUUUGGUUCCAAGUUUGUGCUUCACUGGACCUGACAGAUCAUGCUGCAGGCCACCUCUGCCUUACACUGAACCUCCCUUGGCCAGGCUGGAGAGAGGCUCCCUUUUUGCCCUUAUCAAUCACUUUUCUCAGUCCAGAUGUCUUCACUUUCAUCUCUAGUUGCCUGCAUCGCUGAGCACAUGUGUAGGUGUGUGUGAGAGGAGAGGAUUAUUUUCUUCAGUCAGGUUUUACAUCAUGAAGGAAGAACUUCCUUGACCUUGCUUGGUGGUUUCCUUCAGUGAAGUCCUGCAUUUCUUGUGGCUCAACUGAAUUUUAAGGUGAUUUGUGUAAAGCCUGACAAAUGACAUCUGGCUGAACAGGCUAUCCAUCCUAUCACCCACAUCCUACAUCUGCAUUUUUUUAUGUGCAAACUACUCUUAAGUGACUGGAACAGCUGAAACCAGCACACAGACACCACUAAGCAGAAAAAGUCUUGCAGAGAGCAAAUGAUCCAGGGUCACAAAGGUCCUGUAGUUUUGUUUGCAGUGAAACUGAGCAUUAACUUUUUUUUCAGAAAGGGCUGGCAGGCAGAAAAGAAGUGUAUGCUAGUUACAUGUUACUUCAUUGUGUGUUAAGCUGAUGACCAGAUAGAAUUGAGUAACAUUUGUCAAUAAAUGAGAGUGAAACUUUUGUGCAAAGAGAUAAAAUUAAGAAAUUAUUCUGAAUUAAAUACUCGGAAAACCAGCAUGAGAGGUUCAUGAUGCUUUUAGUUCUUUACUUAAUCUGUGUACAUUUUUUGAAAUUAUAUAUAUUACUUGAAAUCUCUUUGAAUAAGCACUAUUUAGUCUGCCAUAAAAACAUGUUUUUCCACUUCCC